CUGAGCCAAAGUCGGACUCUCAACCAACUGAGCCACCCAGGCGCCCCACAAUCUUGCAUUUUUAAGGGUAGGCUCUGGAAUCUCAUUUGAUAACACUAUAAGCAAAAAGCAGGUCUGUAGGACUCAAUGUUACUGGCAAAAUGUAGUAAGAGAUGAAUAGGAUUUUACUUAAUAGCAGUGAAAUAAGGACUAUCGAAGUUUCCUUGGCUACACUUAAAAAAAAAAUUUUUUUUAACGUUUAUUUAUUUUUGAGACAGAGAGACAGAGCAUGAACGGGGGAGGGUCAGAGA